CCUUCUCCUAAGAAGAGUCGAGCUCCCCCACCAGCUGUAGCACCUCAAAGAAAGAGAGAAGCCCCUCAACCACAGAAAGGCAGCUUUGCACUCUACCUCAUCAUCAGCAGGAGCUCCACCCACAUUGCAUUUUUUUAUGUAUUCACUUGACUCCGUCUUCUCUAUUAUUUUCUCACGUAAGGUCAUUACGCUGAUAUGGCAGCUGCAGUUUUGAUUUUGCUUUCUUUAAUGGAUUUUUAUUUUUAUACUUGGGGUGACCCUUCUGUGGAGUUCUUUGUGGUUCCCAGUGAUGGGAAAUCAGAACUUCAGAAGCUUUUGUGUACUGGAACUGGAUUUGACCUGGAGAUCAAAUGGCUCCCCAACUCUGGGAAUACAACUGGUGCCUCUAGUAAAGUCAUGAUGGAAGCAGGUGGACACGUGAAAGUGUCCAGUGAGAUAGAAGUGGCGCUGGAAGAGUGGAACAAAGGGGAGGAAUUUUUCUGCCAGGUCACUGAUCUUCAGGAAACGGUGGAGAAGAGUGCCAGUAUUUGUGCAGCUCAUCCAUCUGCACCCCUGAUACAUCUGGAGAAACCUCGCCUCUCUGAUUCGUUCCUACAGCCACGUUCCGAAUUAACAGCUUCUUGUGUUGUUGAAGCUGCGCCCAACUCCAGAGUUUCAUGGGUUUUGAGUGGAAACAUAGAGAAGAAAGCCAGUAAAGAGACGAAAGGGGAACAACUCAGCAGCAACACUCGGCUCAUUGUUAGCAAACUGACUCUGCCGGCAAGAGAAUGGGAAAAACAUCAGAAUGUAACAUGCAGAGUUAAACAGCCAUGUGAUGAUCUACCUGAGGAGAAAACUGUAAACAUUCUAGCAAUCUAUUCACCAACUAUCCAUCUGGUGGAAUUUGGCCAGUCCAUAACAUGUAUCAUUGAAGACUUCUACCCAAAAGACAUCCGUAUCAAAUGGAAAAAGAAUGACGUUGAAGCCAGAGGUCGAGACUGGAUAUCCACAGAAAACGACUUGGGUUAUUACAGAGCGGUCAGUGUCCUUGAAGCAGAUCUGACGUCUUCAAGCCUGGGAACCAAAUACACCUGUGAAGUCACACACAGGGGCAGAACAUACACAGAAAGUCUGUCAUCUAAAGUCAAUCCACCACAAGCAAAGGACCUUUUUAUAAACCAAAAAGCAGUAAUCGACUGUGUCAUAAAUGGUGAUAAUCAGGAGGAGGUGGAAGGAGCAACGGUGUCAUGGACAGUUGGAGGCCGGAGCCCAGCAACUCGUGAUAUUCAUAAUGGCCAUGUUAAACAGACAGAAUCAUCAUUUACCAAAACUAGCACACUGACCCUUGAAGAGUCCGUCUGGUUUUCAGGUAGUGAAGUGAUUUGCUCCACCGCAAGAGACCAAAGAACAAUCUCUGACAAAAUUCGUGUUGAAAAAGGAGGCGAAACCCCCUCUGUUAUCAUUUACAAGCCUCAUAAGUCUGUCCUUGUCACUGAUAUGGUGUCCCUGAUAUGUGAGGUCAGCAGCUCUGAUCUCACAAAUGUGUAUGUCAUGUGGCAAGUAAAUGGUGGACAGUACAUAGAAGGCAACAGCAUGACCAGCAUCAAAAAGGACAACACACUGACCAUCCUCAGCUACUUAACCAUGUCUGGACUGCAGUACAACCGUGCAGAAUUUGCAUGUGCAGUCAAACAUGCCAACAUGGAGAACAGCUACACACUGACAACAAGGUCAACAUCCAUGCGUAAAGCAAACUGCCAGGCACCUGCAAUAAUGAGUAUUAGAGUUAGAUUGUAAAAUCUGUCCUAACACUUUACACACUGGCCUCUGCAUGUUUCAGUGUGUUCUGUGUCCUGGAUGGACGUUGCUCUGCUCUGUCUUUUGCUUCCUCUGUUUUGCUCAUGAACUGCUUGUAUUCAUUGCUAUGUGCUGCCAUUUGGGUAAAGCAUUUCAGGUUAAAAUUUGAUUUAAUGUUCCCAAGCAUUUAUUGGGACUUGGUAGGUGAUCACGACUGACCCUCAGUAACAUGAGCUUAUUUUCACAUAUGCAUAUUAUUAUUAUCAUUAUUAUUAUCAUUAUUACUAUUAUUAUUAUUCUUGCAAUGCUUGAAACAAUAAAUACGCAUAAUUGCA